rnacentral:rRNA from 1 species
AAGAAAAUUCGAUUCCCUUAGUAGCGGCGAGCGAAACGGGAAGAGCCCAAACCAACAAGCUUGCUUGUUGGGGUUGUAGGACACUCUAUACGGAGUUACAAAGGACGACAUUAGACGAAUCAUCUGGAAAGAUGAAUCAAAGAAGGUAAUAAUCCUGUAGUCGAAAAUGUUGUCUCUCUUGAGUGGAUCCUGAGUACGACGGAGCACGUGAAAUUCCGUCGGAAUCUGGGAGGACCAUCUCCUAAGGCUAAAUACUCUCUAGUGACCGAUAGUGAACCAGUACCGUGAGGGAAAGGUGAAAAGCACCCCGGAAGGGGAGUGAAAUAGAACCUGAAACCGUGUGCUUACAAGUAGUCAGAGCCCGUUAAUGGGUGAUGGCGUGCCUUUUGUAGAAUGAACCGGCGAGUUACGAUUUGAUGCAAGGUUAAGCAGUAAAUGUGGAGCCGUAGCGAAAGCGAGUCUGAAUAGGGCGUUUAGUAUUUGGUCGUAGACCCGAAACCAGGUGAUCUACCCUUGGUCAGGUUGAAGUUCAGGUAACACUGAAUGGAGGACCGAACCGACUUACGUUGAAAAGUGAGCGGAUGAACUGAGGGUAGCGGAGAAAUUCCAAUCGAACCUGGAGAUAGCUGGUUCUCUCCGAAAUAGCUUUAGGGCUAGCCUCAAGUGAUGAUUAUUGGAGGUAGAGCACUGUUUGGACGAGGGGCCCCUCUCGGGUUACCGAAUUCAGACAAACUCCGAAUGCCAAUUAAUUUAACUUGGGAGUCAGAACAUGGGUGAUAAGGUCCGUGUUCGAAAGGGAAACAGCCCAGACCACCAGCUAAGGUCCCAAAAUAUAUGUUAAGUGGAAAAGGAUGUGGCGUUGCCCAGACAACUAGGAUGUUGGCUUAGAAGCAGCCAUCAUUUAAAGAGUGCGUAAUAGCUCACUAGUCGAGUGACACUGCGCCGAAAAUGUACCGGGGCUAAACAUAUUACCGAAGCUGUGGAUUGUCCUUUGGACAAUGGUAGGAGAGCGUUCUAAGG